rnacentral:rRNA from 1 species
GACAGAGGGUGCAAACGUUGCUCGGAAUUACUGGGCGUAAAGCGCGUGUAGGCUGACCGGAAAGUCGGGCGUGAAAUCCCUGGGCUCAACCCAGGAACUGCACUCGAAACUCCCGGUCUUGAGUGGUGGAGAGGGAAGUGGAAUUCCUGGUGUAGAGGUGAAAUGCGUAGAUAUCUGGAGGAACACCGGUGGCGAAGGCGGCAUCCUGGACCAACACUGACACUGAUGAGCGAAAGCCAGGGGAGCAAACGGG